GAGAGCGACGUGCAGGGGGAGGCGAGAGGACGAGGUGGGAUAGCGUGGAUAGUAAUGACGGGGGGGCGACGGCGCGGAGGCGGUGGAGACAGUCAGACGUCGAAUUCCUUUGCGCAACCUGGGUGCGGAGUUCGAUACGUGCGGACUAGAGUGGGGAAGAGGGUCCGGGAAUUCCCAGUGUAGAGGUGAAAUUCGUAGAUAUUGGGAAGAACACCGGUAGCGAAGGCGGCAACCUGGGCCUUGACUGACGCUGAGGCGCGAAAGCGUAGGGAGCAAACAGGAUUAGAUACCCGAGUAGUC
rnacentral:rRNA from 1 species